AUGAAUUUAAAUAUUUACAAUUUAAUAAUUAUUUUAAAGUUUUAUCAGUAUCUUUUUUUAUAUGAUUUUAUUUUAAAUUUUUUAAUCGAAUUAUAUAAUAUUAUAAGUAUAAAUAAAAUAAUGAAUUUAGGAACAAUUGUUAUUUAUUUUUUAUGUAAAAUAUAUUAUGAAAAAAAAAAUUAUAUGUUUUCAUUAUAUUUAUUGAUGCUUUUUUUUAAUAAUGAAGAAGAAUUAUUUAUUUUUAAUUCGAUUGAUGAUACUGUUCUAAAAAGUAGAAAAUAUGAUUUGAUUCAUUUUUAUGAGUCUUUUUGGCGAUUUAGUGGUUAUAAAACGUACUUAAAACCUUGCUCCAGAGACGUUCAAGAACCUAUGAUAUGUUUAGUACUUAGUUGCCUUGGGUUUUUAUUAAAUUAUGACAAGGUGAGUACAAACAUAGAUAAAGAAUAUUUAAAAAAUGAAUCUUUUGAUAUAAAAGAGUAUGAUGCAUUAUUUAUUGAAAUAUGUUUUGGGUAUUUAAAUAUUUUAAUUAUGAAUAAAAAAUAUAAGGAACAGAAAGAGUUCAGUGAUUUUAUGCAAAAGUAUUUCAAAUUUGUAGAUAAAAAACAAUCUUAUUUACCUUUAUAUAAUAUUGAUAUAUUUCUUUGUGAUAUUUAUAUUAACUUAUAUUACUUAUUGGAAAAUAAUAAUUAUAGAAUUUUUUUAAGAAUAAAAAACAAAAGUCAUGUUAAUUUUUUUUUUUACCAUUACUUGGAAUCGUAAUAAAUAAAGAAAUAUAUAUGUUUAAUUUAAAAUAUUCUAAUAGUUAUGAAGAUAUUCAUUUUUUAUUUGGUCAACUUUUGAAUAAUGAUGAGGAUGAUGAGGAUUAUGCGGGUUAUGAGCAUGAUAAUGUUAAUGAUGUAUGUAAAAAUGAUUUGUUUUUACGAAAGUAUAUAACACAAGAAAUGGAAACAUCUUUGGCGCAGAUGUUUACUAUCACUGAUAGUACCAAUAAUAGUCGCAAUCAGAAUAAUAAUAGUUUUUUACGGUUAAACAAUAAAAAUAGUAUUAGUCUUAUAUUAAAAAAAAAG
ensembl:lncRNA